CGCUGGCGGCGUGCUUACACAUGCAAGUCGAACGAAGCGACAGUGAAGGAGGCUUCGGCCAAUGGAUCUGUUGACUUAGUGGCGGACGGGUGAGUAACGCGUGAGCAACCUGCCUUUCAGAGGGGGAUAACGUUUGGAAACGAACGCUAAUACCGCAUAACGUAUUUUCGCUGCAUGACGAAGAUACCAAAGGAGCAAUCCGCUGAGAGAUGGGCUCGCGUCCGAUUAGAUAGUUGGUGGGGUAACGGCCUACCAAGUCGACGAUCGGUAGCCGGACUGAGAGGUUGAACGGCCACAUUGGGACUGAGACACGGCCCAGACUCCUACGGGAGGCAGCAGUGGGGAAUAUUGCACAAUGGGCGAAAGCCUGAUGCAGCAACGCCGCGUGAGGGAAGACGGUUUUCGGAUUGUAAACCUUUGUCCUUGGUGAAGAUCAUGACGGUAGCCGAGGAGGAAGCCACGGCUAACUACGUGCCAGCAGCCGCGGUAAUACG
rnacentral:rRNA from 1 species